ensembl:snoRNA
UUGUCUCUAAAUCAAGGCUAGCAGUUUGUUGAAACUGUUCCAAGCAAGAGCCUAAAUAAAUGUCUUUCUGUUGUCUGUUGGCCAUUUCAGAAAUUUGGAAAUGUAAUGAUCAAUUCAUUAGAAAGAAACAUCU